GUCUUUUAAUUGAAGUCUGGUAUGAACGGUUGGAUGAAAAAUUUACUUUCUUUAUUUUUUAAAAUAAAAAUUAAUUUUUUAGUUAAAAAGCUAAAAUUAAUUUAAAGGACGAGAAGACCCUAUAGAGCUUUACUCCUCUUUCUUUAUUAUUUACUUGUAAAUAAUUCUUUUUUAAAGAAAGAGGAGUUUUAUUGGGGUGAUAAAAAAAAAUUUUUAACUUUUUUUCUUUUUUUCAUUUAUUUAUGAUUUUUUUGAUCCUUUAUUAUGGAUAAUAAGACUAAGUUACCUUAGGGAUAACAGCGUUAUUAUUUUAGAGAGUUCAUAUCGAUAAAAUAGUUUGCGACCUCGAUGUUGGAUUAAAUUAAGUAUUAGGGGCAGAAUCUUAAUUACUAGGUCUGUUCGACCUUUAAAUUUUUACA
rnacentral:rRNA from 1 species